CCUACGGGAGGCAGCAGUGGGGAAUAUUGGACAAUGGGCGAAAGCCUGAUCCAGCCAUGCCGCGUGUGUGAAGAAGGCCUUCGGGUUGUAAAGCACUUUCAGUGGGGAAGAAAGCCUUGGGGCUAAUACCCUCGAGGAAGGACAUCACCCACAGAAGAAGCACCGGCUAACUCCGUGCCAGCAGCCGCGGUAAUACGGAGGGUGCGAGCGUUAAUCGGAAUUACUGGGCGUAAAGCGCGCGUAGGCGGUCUGAUAAGCCGGUUGUGAAAGCCCCGGGCUCAACCUGGGAACGGCAUCCGGAACUGUCAGGCUAGAGUGCAGGAGAGGAAGGUAGAAUUCCCGGUGUAGCGGUGAAAUGCGUAGAGAUCGGGAGGAAUACCAGUGGCGAAGGCGGCCUUCUGGACUGACACUGACGCUGAGGUGCGAAAGCGUGGGUAGCAAACAGGAUUAGAUACCCCUGAGUC
rnacentral:rRNA from 1 species